rnacentral:lncRNA from 1 species
ACCACUACGACCCUCCUUAUGGGUUUUCUGGUGAUACUAUUCUCCAAUGAUGAACCUAUUGACCAAGUUAGACAUGAUAUAUAGUAACUAAUGAUAUGGUGUUUACUAGGUCAUAUUAUAUGGUUUUAUUGGCAUUCCACAAUCUCCAAUGCAUACAAAAAGCUUAGCAACUCUGAAACACCAGGUAGUAGAUAGUUUGAUUCUAGUUAAUGAUAUAUGAAUUCACAGUGGCAAUUAACUGAAAUUCCUUCCAUC